CCUACGGGAGGCAGCAGUGAGGAAUAUUGGUCAAUGGACGAGAGUCUGAACCAGCCAAGUAGCGUGAAGGAUGACUGCCCUAUGGGUUGUAAACUUCUUUUAUAUGGGAAUAAAAUGUUCCACGUGUGGGAUUUUGUAUGUACCAUAUGAAUAAGGAUCGGCUAACUCCGUGCCAGCAGCCGCGGUAAUACGGAGGAUCCGAGCGUUAUCCGGAUUUAUUGGGUUUAAAGGGAGCGUAGGUGGAUUGUUAAGUCAGUUGUGAAAGUUUGCGGCUCAACCGUAAAAUUGCAGUUGAAACUGGCAGUCUUGAGUUCAGUAGAGGUGGGCGGAAUUCGUGGUGUAGCGGUGAAAUGCUUAGAUAUCACGAAGAACUCCGAUUGCGAAGGCAGUUCACUGGACUGCAACUGACACUGAGGCUCGAAAGUGUGGGUAUCAAACAGGAUUAGAUACCCGAGUAGUC
rnacentral:rRNA from 1 species